CAGGCCUCCUUGAGCUGUGGUGGGCUCCGCCCAGUUGGAGCUUCCUGGCUGCUUUGUUUACCUAAUCAAGCCUGGGCAAUGGCGGGCGCCCCUCCCCCCGCCUCGCUGCCGCCUUGCAGUUUGAUCUCAGACUGCUGUGCUAGCAAUCAGCGAGACUCCGUGGGCGUAGGACCCUCCGAGCCAGAGAUGGGAUCUUACUACAUUGCCCAGGCUGAAGUGCAGUGGCUAUUAACAGCUGUAAUCAUAAUGCAUUGCAGCUUUGAAUUCCUGGGCUUGAGCGACCUCCCCACCUUAGCCUCCUGAGUAGCUGAGACUACAGGCAUUCUAAUAUAUGCAUUCUUCAUAACAACUGUGUGAAACAUAUUAAUAUCCUCAUUGUUAACGAUGAAGAAACUAAAUCUCAGGAAGAAAAACUAAGUGAAGACAAAAGAAGGAUUUGAACUGAGGUUUGUCAGACUCUCGGGACCAUGCUGUUGAAACCACUAAACCACGCUGCCUCUGGGUCACUUGAUUAUUCUGGGAGAUUCUGGGAGUCUUUUCUCCAACACUCCAGUGGCAUCUGACUAUGUGAGCUGAUAAGAUCUAUAGAUCUUUGCUGAACCUGAUUCUGGAAGGUACAACAAUUUCGGCCAUCUUCCUAAUCAAUACUGUGAGAUGGGACCAAAUUGAUUGUGUGGUACAUGAAGCACAGCCCAGGAAAAGCUGAUGAGACCUAGACACCAUUAUAUAUUUUGCCUGACUUAUUAACUUACUCUGUGUCAAAAUUGAGUCCGUUUUUGAUAAAAAUACAGUACUGAGGAACUGUUUCUUUCCUCCUUCUCCAUGUCCUUGUCUCUUCUUGGUUAACAAACCUGACUAGCAAUUGUUUUUCUUUUUUCUUUUUUUGCAGUGUUUGUGAAGAUUUUCUAACCUGGUAUCACACGG
rnacentral:lncRNA from 10 species